rnacentral:misc_RNA from 1 species
GAUGAAGAACGUAGUGAAAUGCGAUACGUAAUGUGAAUUGCAGAAUUCAGUGAAUCAUCGAGUCUUUGAACGCACAUUGCGCCCCCUGGUAUUCCGGGGGGCAUGCCUGUCCGAGCGUCAUUGCUGCCCUCAAGCACGGCUUGUGUGUUGGGCCCCCGCCCCCCGGUUCCCGGGGGGCGGGCCCGAAAGGCAGCGGCGGCACCGCGUCCGGUCCUCGAGCGUAUGGGGCUUCGUCACCCGCUCUUGUAGGCCCGGCCGGCGCUUGCCGACACAUCAAUCUUUUUUCCAGGUUGACCUCGGAUCAGGUAGGGAUACCCGCUGAACUUAAGCAUAUCAAUAAGCGGAGGA